UAGGGAAUAUUGGACAAUGGGGGCAACCCUGAUCCAGCCAUGCCGCGUGAGUGAAGAAGGCCCUCGGGUUGUAAACCUCUUUCAAUAGGGACGAAGCGCAAGUGACGGUACCUAUAGAAGAAGGACCGGCCAACUACGUGCCAGCAGCCGCGGUAAUACGUAGGGUCCGAGCGUUGUCCGGAAUUACUGGGCGUAAAGAGCUCGUAGGUGGUUUGUCGCGUUGUUCGUGAAAACUCACAGCUUAACUGUGGGCGUGCGGGCGAUACGGGCAGACUAGAGUACUGCAGGGGAUACUGGAAUUCCUGGUGUAGCGGUGGAAUGCGCAGAUAUCAGGAGGAACACCGGUGGCGAAGGCGGGUCUCUGGGCAGUAACUGACGCUGAGGAGCGAAAGCGUGGGGAGCGAACA
rnacentral:rRNA from 1 species